AGGACGAACGCUGGCGGCGUGCUUAACACAUGCAAGUCGAACGAAGUCCAUCCGGUAGCAAUACCGGUGAAGGCUUAGUGGCGAACGGGUGAGUAACACGUGAGGAACCUGCCCUUAGCUCUGGGAUAGCUCCGGGAAACCGGAAUUAAUACCGGAUACGACCUAGGCCGACAUCGGCCAUGGUGGAAAGUUUUUCGGCUAGGGAUGGACUCGCGGCCUAUCAGCUAGUUGGUGGGGUAAAGGCCUACCAAGGCGACGACGGGUA
rnacentral:rRNA from 1 species